rnacentral:tRNA from 1 species
GCGGAAAUAGCUCAACGGUAGAGCACAACCUUGCCAAGGUUGGGGUUGCGGGUUCGAAUCCCGUUUUCCGCUCCA